AAAAAGAUAAGCUAAGUUAAGCUAAUGGGUUCAUACCCCAUUUAUGAAUAAAUUUCUCUUUUUA
rnacentral:tRNA from 1 species